ensembl:snRNA U6 U6 spliceosomal RNA
UUGUCACUUUGGCAGCACAUAUACCAAACUUGGAAUAAUGCAGAGAAGCUUAGCAUGGUCCUAUGCAAGGAUGACACACAGAUUCGUGAAGUAUUCCAUAUAUUU